UGGCUGGGGCACUAGGCACUGGCCACGGCCAUGUGAACCCAAUGUGGCAGCAACUGCCGCGCCGCCGAAGGCCAUGUAAAUUUGUGCUCCGCAAAGGCUCCAUGAGGUGUAGGCUCCACAUAUGUGAAAACGACGGCGGCUGGCUCUGCUGCAAGAUUAGUGUAGCGGCUUCCUGACCAAAGGUGUAAAGCAUCACUGCUAUCAAAGUCAUUUGACUGAUAUCUGAUUGACGUCCUCAACGGUUGACACAUACUCAUCGGUCAAGUCCUCAACGUACAUGGAGUUGAAUAAGUUUGUUGCAAUCCAUUAGCAAACACCAAAUGCAGAGUUAGUUUUUUGGUGGUACAAGAUGGUUAUGCACAUGAGCAAGAGAGGCAGAGAGCAAGUGAAGGGGCGCAAGCAACGAUGUAUCACACAACUCACACUCACUGGUGCUUUGUCCAGCACCAAACCUCAGCACCAGAUUUUUGUGCCAAUAAUCACAUCAGCUUGGGAGAUGUCUUCCUGAUGCGGUGGGCAAAGGUAUCGAGGGCCAUGGAACCGGUUGAUAGCCCGAGGAGCAAGAGGGAUUUACAGGAGGUGGAGGACAGGGAACGCAUCGCAGACUUGUUCUGUACAUGUUUAUUAGAUCAUUGUGACAGAGUGACAUGUUGCACUAUCAAGUACCAAUAGUUGGUUGGGAUUGGAAUGAUCAAAAUGAGUUGUUCAUGUUUUAGAAGGCUGUGUGUUUCUCCAUUUUAGUUUAGAUUUGAGAAGGUUCUAGGUUUUUCCUUUAACCUUUUCACUCUGUUUCUCGCCCAACAUAACUCAGUUUUUCUCCUUUUCACUCUGUUUAAUUUAUCAAUUUCUAAAUAGUGCCACACGGUCCAAUCUCCGGUAAAACUGUCAGCUUGAGAAAAGUGAUGUGGAGGAACCAUGAACUCAAUGUCUUGCUGCAUUGAACUAAUAUGAAUAAAAGGGUAAAGUUUAAAUAA